rnacentral:rRNA from 1 species
GUGGGGAAUAUUGCACAAUGGGGGAAACCCUGAUGCAGCAACGCCACGUGUGGGAAGAAGCAUUUCGGUGUGUAAACCACUGUCAUGAGGGAAUAAGGCCCUUAUUCGUAAGGGAUUGAAUGUACCUUGAGAGGAAGCACCGGCAAACUUCGUGCCAGCAGCCGCGGUAAUACGAGGGGUGCAAGCGUUGUUCGGAAUUACUGGGCGUAAAGGGAGCGUAGGCGGAGAUUCAAGCGGAUUGUACAAUCCCGGGGCCCAACCCCGGCUCUGCAGUCCGAACUGGAUCUCUUGGAUAGUUCAGGGGCAGGCGGAAUUCCUGGUGUAGCGGUGGAAUGCGUAGAGAUCAGGAAGAACACCGAUGGCGAAGGCAGCCUGCUGGGGACUUAUCGACGCUGAGGCUCGAAAGUGCGGGUAGCAAACAGG